rnacentral:rRNA from 1 species
UACGGGGGGGGCAAGCGUUGUUCGGAAUUACUGGGCGUAAAGGGCUCGUAGGCGGCCAACUAAGUCAUACGUGAAAUCCCUCGGCUUAACCGGGGAACUGCGUCUGAUACUGGAUGGCUUGAGUUCGGGAGAGGGAUGCGGAAUUCCAGGUGUAGCGGUGAAAAUGCGUAGAUAUCUGGAGGAACACCGGUGGCGAAGGCGGCAGUCCGUGGACCGAUACUGACGCUGAGGAGCGAAAGCCAGGGGAGCAAACGGGG